UACGUAGGGUGCGAGCGUUAAUCGGAAUUACUGGGCGUAAAGCGCGCGCAGGUGGCGUGUUAAGUAGGGCGUGAAAUCUCCCGGCCUAACUGGGAGGGGUCGCCCUAGACUGGCAGGCUUGAGGCUGGCAGAGGUGGGUGGAAUUCCUGGUGUAGUGGUGAAAUGCGUAGAGAUCAGGAGGAACACCGGUGGCGAAGGCG
rnacentral:rRNA from 1 species